UACCGAAAGCGGCUGGCACCCGUCCACAACUGCCAAAUCUCGGAUCCUUCGAUCCGUUGAACCCCGCGAAAGAACAAGUGCAUUAUGCGACGUUGGGCGAGAGGCGUCUCGCCGGUACCCGUACAUACCCUUCCGGGUCGGUCGGGUUCCGAAUCAAAGCGUACACCCCAUUUUCAACCCCACUAAACUCUGAAUCUGAACUCGAAAGGGAGGCUGGCCCUACGGCCGGCCGCCCUCAACCAUAUWWCGUUGUMAAA
rnacentral:rRNA from 1 species